rnacentral:rRNA from 1 species
AUUGAACGCUGGCGGCAUGCUUUACUCAUGCAAGUCGAACGGUAACAGGCCUUCGGGUGCUGCCGAGUGGCGCACGGGUGAGUAAUGCAUCGGAACGUGCCCAGCGGUGGGGGAUAACGCAUCGAAAGCUGUGCUAAUACCGCAUGUGAUCUGAGGAUGAAAGCGGGGGACCAGGCAGCAAUGUUUGGCCUCGCGCCUUUGGAGCGGCCGAUGUCAGAUUAGUUAGUUGGUGGGGUAAAGGCCUACCAAGCCGACGAUCUGUAGCUGGUCUGAGAGGACGACCAGCCACACUGGGACUGAGACACGGCCCAGACUCCUACGGGAGGCAGCAGUGGGGAAUUUUGGACAAGGGGCGCAAGCCUGAUCCAGCAAUGCCGCGUGCGGGAAGAAGGCCUUCGGGUUGUAAAACGCUUUUGUACGGAACGAAAAGGCUCUGGCUAAUACCUGGGGCUGAUGACGGUACCGUAAGAAUAAGCACCGGCUAACUACGUG